AGAGGGUGCAAGCGUUAAUCGGAAUUACUGGGCGUAAAGCGAGCGUAGGUGGCUUGAUAAGUCAGAUGUGAAAGCCCCGGGCUUAACCUGGGAACGGCAUCUGAUACUGUUAGGCUAGAGUAGGUGAGAGGAAGGUAGAAUUCCAGGUGUAGCGGUGAAAUGCGUAGAGAUCUGGAGGAAUACCGAUGGCGAAGGCAGCCUUCUGGCAUCAUACUGACACUGAGGUUCGAAAGCGUGGGUAGCAAACAGGAUUAGAUACCCUGGUAGUCCACGCCGUAAACGAUGUCUACUAGUCGUUGGGUCCCUUGAGGACUUAGUGACGCAGCUAACGCAAUAAGUAGACCGCCUGGGGAGUACGGCCGCAAGGUUAAA
rnacentral:rRNA from 1 species